rnacentral:lncRNA from 1 species
UUUUUUCUCCCAUCUCCUUGGAGCUUGUUUCCAGCCUUAUGGAAGUCUCCUACUGAGUUCUAAGACUUCCUAGAACACAAACAAAUGGAGCUAUUGUUUGAUGACAUGAAUGCAUACUUCACAUAGGUUGGACGCGGGCCUUAGUGACUUUAAAACAUGAAAGACAAUUUACUGUAUUUUGUUCCCUGUUUAUCCCAAGACAAUGUAAAC